CGGCCUGCUGGGCUUUAACUGACGCUGAGGCACGAAAGCAUGGGUAGCAAACAGGAUUAGAUACCCUGGUAGUCCAUGCCGUAAACGAUGAUUACUAGGUGUGGGGGGAUUGACCCCUUCCGUGCCGCAGUUAACACAAUAAGUAAUCCACCUGGGGAGUACGGCCGCAAGGUUGAAACUCAAAGGAAUUGACGGGGGCCCGCACAAGCAGUGGAGUAUGUGGUUUAAUUCGAAGCAACGCGAAGAACCUUACCGGGGCUUGACAUCCUGAGAAUCCUACAGAGAUGUGGGAGUGCCCUUCGGGGAAUUCAGAGACAGGUGGUGCAUGGUCGUCGUCAGCUCGUGUCGUGAGAUGUUGGGUUAAGUCCCGCAACGAGCGCAACCCUUGCUUUCAGUUGCUACGCAAGAGCACUCUAAUAGGACUGCCGUUGACAAAACGGAGGAAGGUGGGGACGACGUCAAAUCAUCAUGCCCCUUAUGACCUGGGCUACACACGUACUACAAUGGGCGUUAACAGAGGGAAGCAAAAUAGCGAUAUGGAGCGAACCCCUAAAAACGUUCUCAGUUCAGAUGCAGGCUGCAACCCGCCUGCAUGAAGUC
rnacentral:rRNA from 1 species